AUACGGAGGACGCGAGCGUUAUCCGGAUUCAUUGGGUUUAAAGGGUGCGCAGGCGGCCGUGCAAGUCAGCGGUGAAAGCCCGGGGCCCAACCCCGGAAGUGCCGUUGAUACUGCAUGGCUUGAAUGCGGUCGAGGCGGGCGGAACGUGGCGUGUAGCGGUGAAAUGCGUAGAUAUGCCACAGAACGCCGAUAGCGGAGGCAGCUCGCCAGGCCUGCAUUGACGCUCGGGCACGAAAGCGUGGGGAUCGAACAGGAUUAGAGACCCUGGUAGUCCACGCCGUAAACGAUGGGCGCUCGUCGUCGGCGGCAGACAGUCGGCGGCCAAGCGAAAGCGAUAAGCGCCCCACCUGGGGAGUACGGUCGCAAGGCUGAAACUCAAAUGAAUUGACGGGG
rnacentral:rRNA from 1 species